UACGUAGGGGCGCAAGCGUUGUCCGGAAUUAUUGGGCGUAAAGAGCUCGUAGGCGGUCUGUUACGUCCGCUGUGAAAACCCGCGGCUUAACUGCGGGCUUGCGGUUGAUACGGGCGGGCUAGAGUUCGGUAGGGGAGACUGGAAUUCCUGGUGUAGCGGUGAAAUGCGCAGAUAUCAGGAGGAACACCGGUGGCGAAGGCGGGUCUCUGGGCCGAUACUGACGCUGAGGAGCGAAAGCGUGGGGAGCGAACAGG
rnacentral:rRNA from 1 species